AUGCCAGGGACAGAGUCACCUCAGGGUUAAUUUAAUGCCCACGGGCAAGAAAAGGUUCUGAAGUGAAGCCCUUUGACCCAGUGUUAUCGGAUUGGUGGAAUGAAACCAUAUCGAAUAAGGAACUCGUUCUAGUACCGCUACCGCUUCGACUGCGAGAAGGAAGCCCGAUGAAGAAGAUUACUCGACUCGCGUCUGGGAAAACUGGGAAGACAGACCUUAGAUGGCUCAGCUUCGACCCAUUUGGUGAAUACGCCUCAGGAGUCAGCGGAGAAUAGUUCCAACUAUAGGCAAGUCGUUCCUAGCCAAAAAGUAGGUAGCCCCGCGAAACCUCUUAUUCCGGCUAACUACGACUACUCAGGAAUAGCGGCGUUUCUGCUGUUAGGGGUAAUCUCCUGUUGUCUCUUUCCUGA